rnacentral:rRNA from 1 species
CUACGGGCCGCUCCAGUGAGGAAUUUUGCGCAAUGGGGGGAACCCUGACGCAGCAACGCCGCGUGAGUGAAGAAGGCCUUUGGGUCGUAAAGCUCUGUCAAUUGGGAAGAAGUUACAAGUGUUUAAUAGAUGCUUGUAUUGACGGUACCAAUGGAGGAAGCGCCGGCUAACUCCGUGCCAGCAGCCGCGGUAACACGGGGGGGCGCAAGCGUUAUUCGGAAUUAUUGGGCGUAAAGGGCGCGUAGGCGGUCUUAUCGGUCAGAUGUGAAAGCCCGGGGCUCAACCCCGGACGUGCAUUUGAAACAGUAGGACUUGAGUACGGGAGAGGAAAGCAGAAUUCCUGGUGUAGAGGUGAAAUUCGUAGAUAUCAGGAGGAACACCGAUGGCGAAGGCAGCUUUCUGGACCGAUACUGACGCUGAGGCGCGAAGGCGUGGGUAGCGAACGGGAUUAGAUACCCGCGUAGUC